CAACCAGCUACAUUAACCCAGAGGAUAACUCCAUUUCAAAAGGAAGAAUGGAGACAAAAUUGAAUGUGCACUGUUCCAAAGUUAAUGGUUGCACAAUGGGAAAAUUUGUAAAGAGGAGAUGUACUACACAGGAAAACCUACUUGGUCUGAAAAGAGUUGGCUGUGGACAGUGCUGGCAGCUCCUGGAACGAGCUGGGUUGCAGUGGUACACACAGGUGGAUAAUCUCGAGUGAAGAUGUUGCAAAGAAAGCAUUCCUGGUUCUCAAGUGUGAGGCGAGGCAGGCAACAAAAGGUGAAUGAUCUGUGAAUCUCUGGGUGUUCCUCAAAGUUCAAUUCACAGUCAUCUCCCCCAAGGAAAAUAAGGAACUAAAGGUGGUCCAGGAUGCUGAUUACAUGCAAACUUUAAUGCAUAUUACUGAACUCCACUAUUGUGAAGUCUGGUGAAGUCAAGGGAAGAGAACAGUUAUGUAUGUUACUUACACAGAAGAUUCUUCAAAUAAAGUCUUCACCAACAUUGCUAGAAAUACCCACAACUUCAAUCUGAUCACAUUUAGGCUGAUUGUGAGCCAACUCUAUAUCCACUGAGGAAGUUAACUGAGGUACGCUGUAAUUAGGUCUCUGCAGCACCUUCCUCGUACAUAAAUAGGAAAGUGGAUUCCUUGUUGUUUUUCUGUGGUCAACAAUGCAACCGAGGAACACAUCUGAGUGACAGGUUAACUGUCUGGACAGCUGCGAGUCAAGCCUUCAAGACACGCUGCUUUAUCUGAUUGGUCUCAGUCUUGAUCUGGCACAUGAAAGGAAAUGUGAGGAAGUUUCCAGCAGAGAUCAUUUUGCAAGUCCAAAGAUGAGGGUCAUUGUUUCACCUCUGGAGGAAGAUGGAGGAAAUCCAUGCGUGAGAAAGCUACCCAGGGAUAUUUGACAAAAAAGACAACUGGCUUGAAGUCCCUGAGCCAGAAAUCUCUGGGAAUUGGGAGAAGACACCUGGGGAAGUGUUGAUUACUCUUCUGCUACAGUUUUCUGCAUUUAUCUUUCAUCACACAAGGAGCUGUAGGCUUGAUCUGAAGUCCACAGAAGCAAAAGGAUAAAUCCUUAUCAGCUGUGGCCCAGCCCUUCACACAGCACGUUCCCUGGCCAGCAGAGUCACUUAGGCUGAAAGAGGCAUACUAUUACAAGAUCUUCAAGGGACAAAGACUAAUUAAGGAUAAUCUUGUAGAAAAUGUUACUUUUUCUGGACGUGUUUAACAUGGGAAAUAGUGCUCUCUAUUGCCACCUUGAGUCUCUGACUGCCUUCAACAGAAGAACAAAAAAAAACUGGGGCGUAACACAGAGAGACAAAGGGAAAAUGGAUUUCCAGUCCCAAUGACCAGAGCCCUCUCCAGUCAUCAGCUAUACUUUUUGGAACAUAUAAGAAUGAGUGAGCCACCUCUCGAGCACUACUGUCCAUGUCAGAGGAAGAGAUAGCUGUUGGUUUCUCAACAUUAA